rnacentral:rRNA from 1 species
AACGAACGCUGGCGGCAUGCCUAACACAUGCAAGUCGAACGAGACCUUCGGGUCUAGUGGCGCACGGGUGCGUAACGCGUGGGAACCUGCCUUUAGGUUCGGAAUAACUCAGAGAAAUUUGAGCUAAUACCGGAUGAUGUCUUCGGACCAAAGAUUUAUCGCCUUUGGAUGGGCCCGCGUUGGAUUAGCUAGUUGGUGGGGUAAAGGCCUACCAAGGCGACGAUCCAUAGCUGGUCUGAGAGGAUGAUCAGCCACACUGGGACUGAGACACGGCCCAGACUCCUACGGGAGGCAGCAGUGGGGAAUAUUGGACAAUGGGCGAAAGCCUGAUCCAGCAAUGCCGCGUGAGUGAUGAAGGCCUUAGGGUUGUAAAGCUCUUUUACCCGAGAUGAUAAUGACAGUAUCGGGAGAAUAAGCUCCGGCUAACUCCGUG